rnacentral:rRNA from 1 species
GGAGUCUGCAACUCGACUCCAUGAAGUCGGAAUCGCUAGUAAUCGUGGAUCAGAAUGCCACGGUGAAUACGUUCCCGGGCCUUGUACACACCGCCCGUCACACCAUGGGAGUGGGUUGCAAAAGAAGUAGGUAGCUUAACCUUCGGGAGGGCGCUUACCACUUUGUGAUUCAUGACUGGGGUGAAGUCGUAACAAGGUAACCGUAGGGGAACCUGCGGUUGGAUCACCUCCUUACCUUAAAGAA